rnacentral:rRNA from 1 species
UGUAUAAUGGGUCAGCGACUUACAUUCAGUGGCAAGGUUAACCGAAUAGGGAAGCCGUAGCGAAAGCGAGUCCGAAUAGGGCGAUUCAGUCGCUGGGUGUAGACCCGAAACCCGGUGAUCUAGCCAUGGGCAGGUUGAAGGUUGGGUAACACUAACUGGAGGACCGAACCGACUAAUGUUGAAAAAUUAGCGGAUGACUUGUGGCUGGGGGUGAAAGGCCAAUCAAACCGGGAGAUAGCUGGUUCUCCCCGAAAGCUAUUUAGGUAGCGCCUCGUGAAUUCAUCUCCGGGGGUAGAGCACUGUUUCGGCAAGGGGGUCAUCCCGACUUACCAACCCGAUGCAAACUGCGAAUACCGGAGAAUGUUAUCACGGGAGACAGAGCACCGGGUGCUAACGUCCGUCGUGAAGAGGGAAACAACCCAGACCGCCAGCUAAGGUCCCAAAUUAUCGCUAAGUGGGAAACGAAGUGGGAAGGCAUAGACAGUCAGGAGGUUGGCUUAGAAGCAGCCAUCAUUUAAAGAAAGCGUAAUAGCUCACUGGUCGAGUCGGCCUGCGCGGAAGAUGUAACGGGGCUAAACCAUGCACCGAAGCUGCGGCAGCGACGCUUAUGCGUUGUUGGGUAGGGGAGCGUUCUGUAAGCCUGCGAAGGUGUGCUGUGAGGCAUGCUGGAGGUAUCAGAAGUGCGAAUGCUGACAUAAGUAACGAUAAAGCGGGUGAAAAGCCCGCUCGCCGGAAGACCAAGGGUUCCUGUCCAACGUUAAUCGGGGCAGGGUGAGUCGACCCCUAAGGCGAGGCCGAAAGGCGUAGUCGAUGGGAAACAGGUUAAUAUUCCUGUACUUGGUGUUACUGCGAAGGGGGGACGGAGAAGGCUA